AUGCUGGGAGCCGCGGGGAAGGCCGCCGUGGAGGCGGCACAGGCCGUGGGCAAGAAGGCGCCCGAGGUCGCAGGCAAGGCCCUGGGCAAGGCAGGCGACUUUGCCAAGGCGCACCCCGAGGAGGUGUACCAGGCCGCGAAGAAGGCCAAAGAGGUGGUGAUGGGCAGCAGCCAUGGUGGUGGUGGUGAGUCGGCUGUCAGCGCCAGGUUGUCAAUCACGCGCUGGCCCGCGGCCGAGCCGGCGGCGGCGCCUGGCGGCUGGGGGCUGCUGGAGUGGGCUCUGGUGGGCGUGGGACUCGCCGCCGCCGCCACUGCCGGGGUGGUGGCGUACCGCCGCUGGAAGGGCCUCUGA
rnacentral:rRNA from 1 species